rnacentral:rRNA from 1 species
UACGUAGGCAGCGAGCGUUGUUCGGAGUUACUGGGCGUAAAGGGUGCGUAGGCGGUUUUGUAAGUUUGGUGUGAAAUCUCCCGGCUUAACUGGGAGGGUGCGCCGAAAACUGGAAGGCUUGAGUAUGGGAGAGGUAAGCGGAAUUCCUGGUGUAGCGGUGAAAUGCGUAGAUAUCAGGAGGAACACCUGCGGUGUAGACGGCUUACUGGACCAUAACUGACGCUGAGGCACGAAAGCGUGGGUAGCAAACAGG